CGGUAAUUCCAGCUCCAAUAGCGUAUACUAAAGUUGUUGCAGUUAAAAAGCUCGUAGUUGGAUUUCUGCGGGGACGGAGCGGCCGGUCGCAACUUGCGACUCGAGCUAGCGCUUUCCCCGCAUCCUGCCGCGAACCGUGCUACCAUUAGUUUGGUGGCGCUGGGGAUCGGCUCGAUUACUUUGAGAAAAAUAGAGUGUUCAAAGCAGGCCACACGCCUUGAAUAAGUUAGCAUGGAAUAAUGACUAAGGACUUUGGUUCUUUUCGUUGGUGUUCGGGACUGAAGUAAUGAUUGAUAGGGACAGUUGGGGCGGUCCGUAUUCCAAAGCGAGAGGUGAAAUUCUUAGACCUUCGGAAGACGAACAGCUGCGAAAGCGUUCCGCAAGGAUGUUCCCUUUGAUCAAGAACGAAAGUUGGGGGAUCGAAGACGAUCAGAUACCGUCGUAGUCUCAACUAUAAACUAUACCAGCUAGGGAUCGGCCAACGUUUAAUUAUUCGACUUGGUCGGCACCUUAUGAGAAAUCAAAGCAUCUGGGUUCCGGGGGGAGUAUGGUCGCAAGGCUGAAACCUAAAGGAAUUGACGGAAGGGCACCACCAGCCGUGGAGCCUGUGGCUUAAUUUGACUCAACACGGGAAAACUUACCAGGUCCGGACAUAGUAAGGAUUGACAGAUUGAUAGCUCUUUCUUGAUUCUGUGGGUGGUGGUGCAUGGCCGUUUUUAGUCGGUGGAUGUGAUCUGUCUGCUUAAUUGCGUUAACGGACGAGACCCCAGCCUGCUAAAUAGCGCGGCCGAGCUUUGCUCGGUGCGAGCUUCUUAGAGGGACCAUGAUGCGCGAUAGCACAAGGAAGUUUGGGGCAACAACAGGUCUGUGAUGCCCUUAGAUGUUCUGGGCCGCACACGGGCUACACUGGCGCCUGCAACGAGCAUAUCAGCUGGCCCGAGAGGGUCUUGGCUAAUCUUUGGAACCGGCGCCGUGCUUGGGAUUGACCAUUGCAAUUGUUGGUCAUGCAACGAGGAAUGCCUUGUAAACGCGAGUCAUCAGCUCGCAUUGAAUACGUCCCUGCCCCUUGUACACACCGCCC
rnacentral:rRNA from 1 species